CCCGGUCCUGCCUGCUGGAGAGUUUCCUUCCUUUUAUGAAAAUGAGAAUGAAAUCUCCGUGGCUUUUCCUUUCCUUGUUCUCCGCCUUCACCUGUGUCCUGUUCCAGGUGCAGCUGGUCCCAUCCAGCCUGGGGGCGGUGAAGCCCGGACAGACCCUCGCACUGACCUGUGCUGUCUCCGGGGUCUCUAUCACUAGCAGCAGCUAUGCCUGGAACUGGGUCCAGCAGCCCCCCGGGAAAGGGCUGGAGUGGGUAGCACGUAUAUACCCACACAACGGGAGAAAGUGGUUCGCUGCGUCUCUCCAAAGCUGGAUCACCAUCUCUUCGGAUACCUCCAAGAACCAGUUCUCCCUGCAGCUGGCCUCCCUCGCCGCUGCGGACACUGGCACCUAUUACUGCGCCAGAGACACACAGCGACACACAGCAAAGCAGGGCUGGUACAAAAAGGGAAAGAGGACUGUUUAG